AUUGAACGCUGGCGGCAGGCCUAACACAUGCAAGUCGAGCGGAUGAAGGGAGCUUGCUCCUGGAUUCAGCGGCGGACGGGUGAGCAAUGCCUAGGAACCUGCCUGGUAGUGGGUGAUAACGUCCGGAAACGGGCGCUAAUACCGCAUACGUCCUGAGGGAGAAAGUGGGGGAUCUUCGGACCUCACGCUAUCAGAUGAGCCUAGGUCGGAUUAGCUAGUUGGUGGGGUAAAGGCCUACCAAGGCGACGAUCCGUAACUGGUCUGAGAGGAUGAUCAGUCACACUGGAACUGAGACACGGUCCAGACUCCUACGGGAGGCAGCAGUGGGGAAUAUUGGACAAUGGGCGAAAGCCUGAUCCAGCCAUGCCGCGUGUGUGAAGAAGGUCUUCGGAUUGUAAAGCACUUUAAGUUGGGAGGAAGGGCAGUAAGUUAAUACCUUGCUGUUUUGACGUUACCAACAGAAUAAGCACCGGCUAACUUCGUG
rnacentral:rRNA from 1 species